GGUCACUUGGUCACUCCCAGCUGGUCACUCCAGGGUCACUUUGGGGUCACUCUGGGGUCAUUUUGUCCCUGGCCAAAGGGGAGUGACCACAGGUGGUCACUUGGAGAGUUCGGUGGUCACUCCUGGGUCACUCCCAGCUGGUCACUCUGGGGUCACUUUGGGGUCACUCGGAGACUCUGGUGGUCACUUUGAGAGUUUGGUGGUCACUCUUGGGUGGUCACUCUUGGGUGGUCACUCUGAAGUCACUCCGGGGUCACUCAGUGGUCACUCUGAGACUCUGGUGGUCACUCCGUCACUCCUGGCUCACUCUGGUGGUCACUUGGUGAGUCUUGGGUGGUCACUCCAGGGUGGUCACUCAGGUGGUCACUCAGAGACUUUUAGAUGGUCAGUGGUCACUCAAGUGGUCACUCUUGGGUGGUCAGGUGGUCACUCGGUUACUCUGGAGUGGUCACCCCAUGGUCAGGUCAUCUCUCAGGCCAUGCUGUGGUCACUCCGCGGUCACUCGGUGGUCAGUUGGUCACUCUGUGGUCACUCUCAGGUCAUCCCGGGGCCACCCUGUGGUCACUCAGUGGUCACUCCAUCACUCUCAGGCCAUCCUGUGGUCAGUGGUCACCCCGUGGUCACUCGGUGGUCACUCAGUGGUCAGUGGUCACUCAGUGGUCACUCGGUGGUCACUCGGUGGUCAGUUGGUCACUCUCAGGCCAGCACGUGAGCCACCGGCACUUUCCGUGUCCGGCCUCCGGCCGCGGGCGGGACCACGAUGGCCGCGGGGUCGUCGUCGUCGUCGCCGUCCGGGGGCAGCCCUGGGGGAGGUUCCGGAACGUUCCGGGGGGUUCUGCAACCUUCCAUGGGGUUCUAUGGAGGUUCUGGAACCUUCCAUGGGGUUCUAUGGAGGUUCUAUGGGGGUUCUGGAACCUUCCAUGGGGUUCUAUGGAGGUUCUAUGGAGGUUCUGGAACCUUCCAUGGGGUUCUAUGGAGGUUCUGGAACCUUCCAUGGGGGUCCUGGAGCCUUCCAUGGGGUUCUAUGGAGGUUCUAUGGGGGUUCUGGAAGGUUCCAUGGGGGUUCUGGAGCCUUCCAUGGGGUUCUAUUGGGUUUCUAUGGGGCUUCUGGAACCUUCCAUGGGGGUUCUGGAACCUUCUGUGGGGUUCUGGAAGCUUCCAUGGGUUUGUAUGGGGGUUCUGGAAACUUCCACGGGGUUCUGGAACCUUCUAUGGGGGUUCUGGAACCUUCCAUGGGGUUCUAUUGGGUUUCUAUGGGGGUUCUGGAACCUUCCAGGGGGUUCUUGGAGG
rnacentral:lncRNA from 1 species